GCCUAACCUCAAGGAUUGUAGGGAGGACUGCGAGGGAGUGCUUGGGGCUGGACGCACUUCCAGAGAUCCUUUGCCAGGUUGAAACGAAGAUACAUUCAGGAGCACUUGUUACUGAUGGAGACUCUCCCUGUAUUUGGGAGCUAGGAUGUCAAUUUGCUGUUUCUGAACUCAGGAGGGACCAUCCUUUUUUCUUGAAAUGAUGUGAGAGCUGGAACAUUAUUCUUUACAGUCAGGCCGGA